GGGGGGGGGGGGAAGUAUUAUUUUGGCAAUCUUAGCCAGCUGCCAUCGUCACUAUCUCCCCAUCCACACGGAAUAUGCGUCAUCAGAAAAAAACACUGUCAUCAAGUGAUGACAGGUGAAGUAAAGCCAGGGAUACAUGGAGUUAAUGCUGGUUAGAUACUGUGUGCUCGGUGUCCUCCCUCUGCCACGGUGCCCACCCCCAGGCUUGUUCCUUUUCUUGCACUUCUCACUGGGACAGGCUGGUUCGGAGCCAAUGGUCCGCCCUGCCCUCUCCCAGGGAGGGGGAUGCUCCAGAUUGCCACCAGGCUCCAUGUCAGCACCACCAAGGCUCUUGGAGUGAUGGCAAGAAGCAGGUGAGGGCCUUGGCCAGCAUAGGCUGCAAGUAUUCACCAGCUACACGGGGAAAGAAAACAAACUGGACGGACAUGCUCAAGGGCAUUCCCUGUCUAGGAGGCACCACAGCAGCCAGACCACCAGCCCAGAGGGGCCUCUCCUCUCCAGAGCCCCUGCCUGAAUGGCAGGAGGAGAUGCUCUGCCAGUUUUGCUCUUUAAGGAGAGGCAGGGACUGAAUCAUUAAAUUCUUAUCUGUGUCAUGCUUGUUUGCUUGAGCUUUUGUAGCCUUUUCUCCCACCCAAACUACCUCAAGCGGGAAAGGGGGCUGGAGCAGCUGUGGGAGCCCCCGGCCAUGGCGUACAAAGCCCACUUGUUAUCGGCACUGUCAUAUGCCUCUGUGCCCCCUCCCCCUUCCCAGCCCCACCACAACCGCUACAUCCCGAAAGCACAAGCCGAGCAUCCAUCAAAAGGGCUAUUAUCCCGCGAUUUCUUAACAGCCACUGUUGCUCUUGGGUACGGAGAACCGAGCUCCCCCUUUGACACAGUCCCCCGAGCAAAGGAAUAGCGGUGCCUGUCGCUGGUUGGCAUACUGAUUUGCAGCCCAUCGCAGUGGCCAGGGUGGGAUGGGGGGCUGCUUCCUGCACAUGGGGUUGUGUUAGCGAUUUAGGGCUUCAUUCUGUUCCUACAAGGCCGAUGGGUCCUACAGAGAUCAUACUUCGGGCCUCCAGAUGUUAGCAGUGGGGCUAACUCCCAUGGAGGGUGGUUAAGAGACCACAUGAGGGUUUAAUUCUUUAUGGCUGAUGCUUUUAAUCUGCUCUUCCCAGGAAAGGGGCUGGAUUUUGAGGAUUUUUUGGAGCUGGGUCUCACGAUGUUGUUUUGAACAAAAGGGACACCUAUUUCCCCAGGUAUAUUCUCUUGCUACAGCAAGGUGGGGUGUCAGGGUGGCGACAAUGUCCCCAAGAGCUAGGAGAAGUCCCAGGGGCGGGGGGCAGGGGCUGUGGAGGGCAGCCACACAUCUGCUCCGGCAGGAGCGGGAGGGCUGGGGGAGAAAAGGGGCACGGCAAACAAAGCCACCAACCUAUUUUUCCAGUAGGAAAAGGGUCUGCAGUGCAGGAGAGGCACUUUCCAGGGACGUGCGCAUUGACCAAAGCAGCUUGUUGAGUGGCAGCAGGUAUUAACAUCCCAAGAGCCUGCUGAAGGAUGGCCCUUUGCUCUUUUGCCAGGCCGGCAGUAGGUGCUGGCACUGGUUGCCCCUGGCUCCAUCGCAGGUGCAUUUAUUCUUGCUAUGUAUGAGCAGGCAAACCGGUCGCAGCACAGACAAUGCCACCCCACUUCCACCCGAAAGAUCUACCAGCUGUGACACCAUGGACAAAGCUGCAGUCCUGGCAGUGACAGGAAGACUCCCCAGCACGUCGGGGACCACAGCCAGGAAGAGAUCUGUGCACCCCAGGUGGAAACUAAGAUUUGCUCAGUCACACAGCGUGGACCAUAACUGAUAAAAGGUGUCACAUUUUUUCCUGUUGGUUUUUUUGAGUCCCCUGGAGUAAAAGGCACUGUUGGCACCAGCAGUCUUGGAAACUGGACAGCUUUGCUGGCCGUGAGCGAUGCUGAACCCAGCUCCAGAGAGCUUUGCUUUUUUUUGUCUGCCUACAGAGAAACUCCCUGUUGGUUUAUGCCUGUUUGUCUUCCUGUUCUUGGGGGGUUUCUCUUACAGCUGACACGAUGAAAACAAGACUCGGUGAUGGUCUCGCUUCUGCCAGCAAGGGAUGGUGCUUGAAGCUCUGGUCGGCCUGAAGUUUCCCUUUGUGCCAUCAGGGUUGCUCCGAGCCAUGUGCCUUGCUGCUGAGUCAGCAUUCUGGAAAACAAUACAUUGGAAGAUAUAUGGCUGGCCAAGACAUGUGGUCGCGUCUUAGCGGGCUUUGUGUGCUGCUUUCCACUUGAGAGGGCUUCUUUAUCACAAGUUUUCUUGGCCACUGAGAAAAUACCUAAAAUGAACAAUGAUGAAUACUGUACUGGAGAAGCUACGGGAGUUUACAGCCAUGCAAAAAGCCAUCAUGUUUCAUCUCAGACCUUACAGAACAAUCAUUUUAUGAAAAUUUGAGGUUUUUCAAUUUUCCACUGAAAUCUUUGGACAUAAAGAGGAUGACUUUAUUAGAAAAAAUGAAUUUUCAUUAUCCCAUAAUCCCAAGGCUUCUGGCAUGGGAAAGGUGUUUCUACCUGGGGUGAACAUCUCAGGACAGUUUGCUCAGCAGGUCCAGUGCUGUUCCAGUGUGAACCUAGGAAGAAUUUUAAAUCUGGUUUUCCUUCCCUAAGGUGUCCCUGACUCUUCACUGAGCAGGCAUGGUGAGAAAAUUAUAGCACCUCCGUUAUUAGAAAAUUAUAGCACUCUUAUUGAAAAGAGCAGAGGCUCUUCUUAAACUUCCAGGUAUGAAACGCAGAUGCUUGAAUUUGGGGAAGUUUACCAUCCUCCCAAAUUAGCCAGCCAUACAGACCUCAGCUACAGCCUCAGUUGGGCUGGUUAGGGCUAGGUUCUCUCAUCCAAAUCUUUCAAAAUAGGGAAAACGUGGGAAACUUGGGCCACUCGUUUUCCGAGCUCAUUUUCCCCUCUCACAGAUGAGCCAUGGCUCUGUGCUGGAAGAGAGGUUUCUGUCAUGAUGAAGGCAUUUCUGAGAGCUAAUUUACUUGUUCAACUGGGCACGCUGGCACUGGGUUCCUGCAUGCAAAAAGACGCAGCAAAUUGAUUGCGAGUGGCUUGCUUGAAAGAAGAAGCGGGAGGUGUGGUAAGCAGAUGUCUUCAUGGCAAUCUGGCAGAUUAAGUGGAGGAGUUCCUAUGUUUUCCUGUGUUUCUGCUUACUGUGGGGUCUCUGGACUAUUUUAAUAAGCAAUCAAAAAAGAAGGGAGAGCAUGAGCAGACAGCCGUAACUGCAGAAGACCAGCCAGCUGGGAUGUUUGCAAGCAUAAAGGUUCGUAAGCUGUGGUACUGCCAAAAUUCCCUGAAGAAGAAUUUACUGGGAUGAUUGGUUCCCGAGAGAUAACUAGGUGAUCUUUAAGAGCGGCUCUGGGGAGCAAAUGCAAAAUGAGCAGCGGAGGACAGUGCAGAAGAUGCAGAGGGCUCUCAGUCUGAGCCACGAGGAUUUGAAGAUGUCUGCGUGCAGUGACUUUGUGGAACACGUUUGGAAGCCUGGCUCCUGCAAAAACUGCUUCAACCCAAAGAGUUCCCAUCGGCUGCAAACACCCUCAGACGUGGGAGCACGUGGCGUGCUCCCGAAUGGAGUUAGGACCAAGCCUGAGAGCCCCACGUUGGAAGACGAAAGUGUAAAUACAUCCCCCUUCUCGAAGCCAACAAUUGCUGUGAAGCCAACUAUGAUAAACUCGGAUGUUUCUGACGCGUGGGCGGAUGUGAAUAUGAAUGCAGAUCUGUCACAGGUCAGCUGGGGCAUGGUUUCUGGCAAACAACUCUUUCUGAAAUCAGGAGAAGCGCAGCGGAUCUGCCUCGACAAUUUUGGCAACGGUGGUGUGAGAAAGCCAUUCCUUCACAACCCACCCAGUGACUGCUUGUCUUGCUGUCCUCCUAGCUACUCCAUGGUGGGCCUGCGCAGCCUGGAGAGUCGAGUGGAGAGAAAUGUCUCCAUCCACAGCCUGGUGCUUGUGGGUGAGGUGGGCAAGCAGGAGGACAGAGCCAAAGACAAGUUUGCCCUGCCGCAUCGGGCCCCCUGCCCUAAUCUGUCCACCUUGGGGGACAGAAGCACCACGAACUCCAGCAGAAACCCUUCUUCCCAAGCCAGAGAAGGAGCAGCACUCCCCUCGGAGGCUGACUGCGGUCACUUCUCCUCUGGCUUUGAAAGCGAAGGGGGCGAGUACUGUUCAAUCACGGACUGCUGCAGGGAGCGCCCCAUCUCCUGGGAGCCGCGUUGUGCGGAGGGGAAGGGUGCCCGGUGCGAGAAGGAGAGCCCUGCCCCCUGCGGAUGGAGGCAGCGGGAUGCUCCCGAGAUUCCCAGGCCAAGUGGCAGGGCGGUCAAGUUCGGCGAAGAGGAGCGCAAAGCGGUGAACGUGGCCUUCUGCAUCACGAAAGACCAGGGCGAUCCUCUCCCCUAUGCCCUGUGUUCAGAGAGGAAAAAGCUGGCUCUCCACGCCGAGCCUGCUGCCCUCCCUGAGAGCACAGGGAGCAGCAAGGCGGCUGCCUUUGCUUUGUCCCAGGAGGACGAGGACUCGCUUCUCCCUGGAGAGCCCUCUGCCACCGGAGGCUCCCGGCCUGAGGGUUCGAGCACCCCUCAGCAGGCUCUGGUGGAGCCGCAGCGCCCUCGGCUCACCGAGCCAGCCCACAGUGAUCCCAUCUACGCCGAGAGCACCAAGAGGAAGAAGGCGCAGCUGAAGGCUGUCGGCGGGCAGGCAAAAGCGGAGAAGCUGGCCCGCAGCACUGGCAAGGAGCAAGCUGAUGGGACGUGGAGGGAUGGUGGCUGGGCGUUGGGUGGUGAGAAGGAAUACCAGGACUCCACCGGCCAGGUGGCGGCAAAGAUAACUAUAAUGACGGCACACACCGAGGAUGAUCACAAGACAAUAUUCCUCAGCAGCCCUGAUUCGGCAGUAGGAGUUCAGUGGCCAUGUAUCAGCCCCACUUCCCAUCCCGAUUUUGGGACUUCAUCACCUGCCAUGGAGCCUGGAGAGAUUUUUCAAGCAUCUGGAAGUGAGAACAGCCCAAGAUUUCAUCUGGCAGCUCCUGCCAAGACCUCAGUUACUGAAAGUCCAGCCAUUCCCCCAAAGAUGUCCAAAAACAGCCAGCCAGGCAGCGAGGGGAACCGUGUGCCCCCGGUCAGCUCCCACGUGGCAAGGUUUGGUGAUGACAACAGCCAUGACGGAGCUGGUGUUCAGCUGCUGCCGAGGAGCUAUACUGAUACGGGUGCCUUUGGGGCAUCCCCUUUUCCAUGCACUCAGGUCAACGGGGUCUCUGUGGAGGAGUCCAGCAGAGGCCUGGCAGGCUUAUCCUAUGACAGGAGGCAGAAAUACUAUAUCCCAACGUGGACCAAGCAGUGCCGGAUAGAGGAGGAGGAGGAGCAGGAGGAGGAGCAGGAGCUCUUAACCCACCCAUGGGCAGUGGGAGCUGAGAAUGGAAGAGCUGGUGCUGACCUUGUGGAUGACGGCCCGAUGCUGGAGAGUCAGACCGGGAUCAGCAAAUCGUCGUCUUUCUCCUUUGAGUUCCCUAAAGACAAGAGUAAUGGCGUGGAGUUUGCACCACCGCCACCGCCGCCGAAAAAGCAGUCCAGGCACACUCUGAAAAUGAACCCGAGUAACGCUGAGUUAGAGAGGGUCAGCAACAGCUCUGCCGAGAGCCUCAGCCCACCUUUCAGGAGCGUCCACGUCAGCUUCACCGCUGGCUCCACUGACAGCCUCGACUCGGACACACAAACUGGCAGUGAUGGCAGGCGCUCAUCUGAGCCAAACCACUCGCCCCCUCCAGCUGAGAGCCAAGUGUUUCCCCCUGUCCCUUUCCUUCCUGCCUCCGGUGAGGAUGGUUCCUCCUCUGCCCCCAGCUGCCCACCCCCUCUGCCCCAGAAGAAGACAGUAAGCAGAACGGUGUCCUCCCCAGAUGGCUUUUUUGGGGGACAGGCGUCUUCAGGCAGAGCAGCCGGUGGUGCCAGCCCCAGGCUGAAUGUCAGCCACUCUGAGAGCAACGUCUGCCUCCGAGAGGAGCCUCCCUUCAUCCACCCAGCCAGCCUGGGGGGCCGCCCUGGCACCUUCUCCUCCUCUGAGUCCCUGGAGAAAGGCUCCAAAGGAAACAGCUACUGGGGUUCAGCCACUGGUAAGAGCACAGGGGCUUGCAUCCCCAGCAGAAACCUCCAGUCCCUUUCCUCCUCGCAGCUCAGUGUGUCCAGCCAGGUGUCAUCGGGCUCCAGCCUCCAGCUUCACAACCUCCUGAGCAACAUCGACAGCAAGGAGGGGGUAUACGCCAAGCUGGGGGCCCUCUACGCCGAGUCCUUGCGCCGCCUGGUUGCCAAGUGUGAGGACUGCUUCAUGCGGGAGCAGAAGAAUGAGCUGCACUUCAGUGAGAACAACUGGUCGCUCUUCAAGCUGGCGUGCAACAAGCCCUGUUGCGAUUCGGGGGAUGCAAUAUAUUACUGUGCCACCUGCUCCAAGGACCCUUCUACCACCUAUGCUGUGAAGAUUUGUAAAACCCAGGAGUCCAAGGUGGCUGCUUCAUACUGCAGCCCUGCAGUGCCAGUCCACUUCAACAUCCAGCAGGACUGUGGGCAUUUUGUGGCCUCUGUCCCCUCCAGCAUGCUGCUGGCCUCAGAUGUGGGGAAAAGCAUGCCUGGGGAUGGCCUCCAUCCCUCCCGCACUGCCAGUGAGCACGACUGUGUGGUGGUCAUUACCCGGGAGGUGCCAAGCCAGACCACUGCUGACUUCGUGAGGGACUCGGUGAUGUUGCACCAAGCCAAGCCCGAGCUGUACGAACGUCGCGUUUGCUUCUUGCUCCUCCAGCUCUGCAAUGGCCUGGAGCAUCUCAAAGAGCACGGCAUCAUCCAUCGUGACCUGUGCCUGGAGAACCUCCUGCUUGUCCCCUGCAAGCCCCCCAUGAGCUGUGUGAAAGCCAAAGAUGACAAACACUUACCCCGCCUCAUCAUCAGCAAUUUUUUGAAAGCCAAACAGAAGCCAGGAAGUGGAGACUCCAAACUGAAGAAGAGUCAGGCCCGGCUGGCCCCGGAGAUUGUGUCGGCUUCUCAGUACAAGAAGUUUGAUGAGUUUCAGACUGGUAUUCUCAUCUACGAGCUGCUGCACCAGCCCAACCCCUUUGAGGAGAAGGUGCACCUCAGGGAGCAGGAGUACAGCCCUGAGGACCUCCCUGCUCUGCCCUGCCUGUCCAUCUACUCCCGCGGGCUCCAGCAGCUGGCCCACCUGCUACUGGAAGCGGAUCCCAUCAAGCGUGUGCGGAUCACCGAGGCCAAGCGGAUGCUGCAGUGUCUGCUUUGGGGGCCCCGGAAAGACCUCACUGAGCAGCCCCUCAGCCAUGAGGAAGCCCUCUGCCAGGUGCUUCAGAAUUGGGUGGACAUGAAGCGUGCCCUGCUCAUGAUGAAGUUUGCAGAGAGGGCUGUGGACAUGGAGCGGAGCAUUGAACUGGAAGACUGGCUGUGCUGCCAGUACUUAGCAUCUGCUGAGCCGGCCUCCCUUUCACACACAUUAAAACUGCUGCAGCUGCUCUGACCUUGGAUGUGUCUUGGAGGCAGCAGAGGGCUCCCGGUUGCCUUGCAGCUAAAGGUGGCAGGAGCCUUCUGGCUUGGGAACCACUGUCCCAUGGACCAUCCUGGACACAUCACCCUGGAAAGUCUGGUCCUGGCUUGCUGCAUGUGGUCUCACAUGGGCCAGCAAAGUGAUGAAACAGCUGGAGAACCUGCCUGAAGGAGCCCAGCAUGUUUUUCAGAGAUAAGAUGAAGAGAUGACUCAGUUUCUAAGCAUGGAUGUAGGGAAUAAGUUGGAGGCAGCUCUGCAGGACAGCACUGAAGGAGACAGGGCCUGGUCCUGACAAAUGCAAGCUGUGCUGGCAACGGGGAGAUUAUAUGUGGGGCAAGUGGCUUGCAAGGCUUGGGAUGGGUACUCAGUGGGACUCAAGAGGAAGAAGCCAAACAACCCACAUAAAACAAGGCUAGAUUGAUUUUGCAUGCUGAGUUUCAGUUUUGUGACAAACACUGAUACAGGUAUUGACACAGGUCCUGCACGGUGUGGGAUGUUAACGUGAUCAAAAUUUUUUUCCCUUGAGUUUGGGCACUUAAGACUGGUUCUGGUGUUGGUCCUGGUACCCUGCAGCAGCAUGCCCAGCAGACCAGAGGCCAACAAUAGUCUUGUAGCAUUUUCAGCUAUAUUAUUUUGAUAUUUGGUGGGUGGCUUCUUGCUGUCAUAUAAACAGAAACUUUUCGCUCCAUGCUUUCCUGAUACCUUCCCCUAUGGUAGCUCAUGUUUCUUCCACAGCCUGAACAGGCUUUUGGGUCCUAGGCCAGUGCGUGAACUGGAGAAGUGCAUUAGGAUUUCUGCUGUGUAUCUUUGUGGGGAAAGUGACACCUAAGCCUCAGUUGAAUGCCACAGCUGAGUCCGAGGACUUUGCUGGCUUACUCUCCCUUGCCUACGCUGUCCUCAGCACACCAUGGGCAGCAGCCCCCCUUUUCCCAGCAGCAUUCUUGCCCCCGUGCCCAGGAUCCUCUGCAAGAAUGGUGGAGGGGAUGGACCAUCCCUCUUCCCCGUGUGGCAGGGGACACAGCUGACCCAGCACCCCAGGGGCCAAGCAUGUCACCCACUUGGUGGGGGGCGGGUAUUGCAGGAGACAUCUAAUUGGGAGUACGGUUUGGGGUCUGCAUGCCACAGAGACAGUGCUGAGGAGCAAUUGCUGGAGGAGUACCACAUAGGAGUACCACCUAUGCAUCUCGGUAGUACCGCUGGGUGGGGAAAGGGGUGUUUCUUGUCUUGUGCUGCCCUCAGACAGAUUGCCAGCCCCUUUCCCUGUGCCCAGGCCCCCACUGGUCUGGUGACCUCACCUCCCUGCUUCAGAGCAUCCCUCAAAGCUGGGGGAUAUCCCAGAA